GGCCACUGCUAUUGGGGUUCGACUAAGCCAUGCGAGUCUAUGGACUUCGGUCCAUGGCGGACGGCUCAGUAACACGUGGCUAACCUACCCUCAGGUGGGGGAUAACCUUGGGAAACUGAGGAUAAUACCCCAUAGGGGAAGAGGUCUGGAAUGAUCCUUCCCUGAAAGGACAUCCGCCUGAGGAUGGGGCUGCGUCCGAUUAGGUAGUUGGUGGGGUAAUGGCCCACCAAGCCUACGAUCGGUACGGGCCUUGAGAGAGGAAGCCCGGAGAUGGGGACUGAGACACGGCCCCAGGCCCUACGGGGCGCAGCAGGCGCGAAACCUCCACAAUGCACGAAAGUGCGAUGGGGGGACCCCAAGUGCCUAUGCACAGCAUAGGCUUUUCCCAAGUGUAAACAGCUUGGGGAAUAAGGGCUGGGCAAGUCCGGUGCCAGCAGCCGCGGUAACACCGGCGGCCCGAGUGGUGGCCACUCUUAUUGGGCCUAAAGCGUCCGUAGCCGGUCCAGUAAGUCCCUGUUUAAAUCCUACGGCUUAACUGUAGGGCUGGCAGGGAUACUGCUGGACUUGGGACCGGGAGAGGACGAGGGUACUCCAGGGGUAGCGGUGAAAUGCGUUGAUCCCUGGAGGACCACCUAUGGCGAAGGCACUCGUCUGGAACGGGUCCGACGGUGAGGGACGAAAGCCAGGGGCGCGAACCGGAUUAGAUACCCGGGUAGUCCUGGCCGUAAACUCUGCGGACUAGGUGCCACCUGGGCCUUGGGCCCAGGUGGUGCCGAAGGGAAGCCAUUAAGUCCGCCGCCUGGGGAGUACGGUCGCAAGACUGAAACUUAAAGGAAUUGGCGGGGGAGCACCACAACGGGUGGAGCCUGCGGUUUAAUUGGAUUCAACGCCGGGCAUCUCACCAGGGGCGACAGCAUGAUGACGGUCAGGUUGACGACCUUACCUGAAGCGCUGAGAGGUGGUGCAUGGCCAUCGUCAGCUCGUACCGCGAGGCGUCCUGUUAAGUCAGGUAACGAGCGAGACCCGUGCCCUAUGUUGCGACUUCUUCCUCCGGGGAGAAGGCACUCAUAGGGGACCGCUGGUGUUAAACCAGAGGAAGGAGCGGGCAACGAUAGGUCCGCAUGCCCGAAUCCCUGGGCUACACGCGGGCUACAAUGGUUGGGACAAUGGG
rnacentral:rRNA from 1 species